CUGGAUCACCUCCUAACAGGGAGACAAACAUUGAUCGUGAUGUCUAAAUUUUUAUCUUUAGGCCAUGAUCCUGUCACUUAGGUCGAUCGGUACCUCAAAUUGAAGCCACAAACUAAAAAAUAGUUUGAUAUUGGUACUUGAUUUCAGUUCCUAAACUUUUGUCUAGGUCACACCCAACAAGGGUUCCUGGGCCAUUAGCUCAGGUGGUUAGAGCGCACCCCUGAUAAGGGUGAGGUCCCUGGUUCAAGUCCAGGAUGGCCCAUUCGAUGUUUGGGGGUAUAGCUCAGUUGGUAGAGCGCCUGCUUUGCAAGCAGGAUGUCAGCGGUUCGAGUCCGCUUACCUCCACUGAUCGACCUCCUGAAUAAAGAGCCUUAGGCCACUAUUGUUUGUUGUGAUUUAGAUUUUGUUCUUUGAUGAAUUGAACCUAGCUUCUUAUCAUUCCUGGUGAUUAACUAAGAAUUAGUUUUACCUUUGGUUGAUAUGAUGCUGGGCUCGCUGCAAUGAAACAUUGCAGAGAUGUUCAGUAGAACCUUGAAAACUGCAUAGGUAAGUCUGGAAAAAAAUAAAGCAUCUCAUGGAUGCAUUAUUUUUCUGAAAUUUUAAUUCUGUACUUACAGGAAAUAAUUCAGAAGAGUAAUGUUUAAUUCUUGAGCAAGAGCCGAGACUCUAUAACUUUCUUUCAAUAUAACUGUAUUGAGAGUUUGAUUUUUAAUUCAUUUAAACCUGAUUUCAAUCAAUGAUUUAGGUAAACCUUAUUCGUUGAUCUUAUUAGUUAUGAAUUAAUUAGAAAGUGCUAACAACACAUAGGGUUAUGGAGAUUUAUGGUCAAGCUACAA
rnacentral:tRNA from 1 species